GGCCUGUUAGCUCAGUCGGCAGAGCGUGGUGCUAAUAACGCUAAGGUCGUGAGUUCGAUCCUCACACAGGCCA
rnacentral:tRNA from 1 species